ACUCAAACCAGGGGGGCCCAUGACACAACCCCAACUGCCUUUCACCUCUACGCAUCCUUCAAGGCCACCAUGGAGAACAUCCUGAUGACUUUCUUUUGGAUUUGCGUCAUCUCCGCAAACGUUCUGGCAAAUUCUCUGCCUUUGAGUGACUCCAAGAUUCCCUUGAUGCGCAAACACGUCAAAUGCGUGAGUCUUGUUACCCGUGUGCUCUUCAGAUCAAGUAUGACCUAUUAAUGAUGACAUUUAUUUCUGUCCACACAGCCUUCCAACUCGACUUUCUAUGCUCCCACAAACAUAAAGGUAAUGUUAGAUUCUUGGGAAUUAUGAAGUCAUGUCAAGCAUAUGUGAAUGUGUGCAUUGUCUGUGAUGCUGGGAGUGAUAACAAGGUCACGUUGGGUUCUACCCCUGUAUCAAAGUGUCUAAUUUAGCAGAGUUUUUGUCUACACCGCACUCGAGGUCGUCUAGUACAGGAAGUGAGCACGGCGGGUGUUCACACCUCACCACCAAAAGGAAGCUUAAAAUCAUCUUUUCUCCCUCACACGCACACGCAGAGACUCUGCAUGACGACCGCACUGGACUGCUGUUUGAAAGAACUCGACGGAAAAAUCCGAAAGGAGUGCGAUGACCCUCACGAAUACGUCGACGAUGCUGUGGAGUACCUAAACGUAACAAUUGACGAGUGGAAGGACAGUCAUCCACUGACUAACUCCAGUCAGUGUGCAUGCAAGCGCUGGCCUAAAACACAUUUGAGCCACUUUCUCGACAAAAUGGAGUCGCUGCUUCAGCUUCUGAACAACGAAGCCUCCUUUUAAGUCACCUACGGCCACCUCUGUAGACGGGAAGUGCAGUGACACAGAGGAUCAACUCCAGCUCUCACAAAGCAGCCAAUUUUCUUGAUGAAAUUCCAAAGUUUUGACUGACUUACCGUAUUUGAUAGAUUUUUUUUUCUACUCUAUUUUCGCCAUAUAACUGUACUAUUAAGAUAUGACUGCUUUGACUGCUGGUUUAUUUCAAAUCAAGGAUGAAACUAGAGUGCCUUUUUCACUCCCUGGAAUAAAAUGCCAUCAUUUUGCCCAGGGGAGGCGGGGUUGAAGUAUCGUGUCGAUGUCAAUUUUACAACUUGGGAGGUUAUACCAGACUUGAUUCUAUGUGAAAGAGACAUGUACACUUCUGUAAAAAGAGCCGUAUUUAUAUAUUUAUUGAUAUUUAAAACUCUGGUUGGUUGUGUGUAUUUGAACCUACACCUUAAUAAAUGCAAUCUCAAAA